rnacentral:tRNA from 1 species
GAAUUCGUCGUCCGAGGAGCCGGGACCGAAACGCUUCAGGUGCGCUUCGCCACCCGCCUGCAGUUCGGUUUCUUCGACGUAUUCA